UACAGAGGUCCCGAGCGUUGUUCGGAUUCACUGGGCGUAAAGGGUGCGUAGGCGGUCGGGUAAGUCUGAUGUGAAAGCUCUGGGCUUAACCCAGAAAGGGCAUUGGAUACUAUUCGGCUCGAGGUCUGGAGGGGGGACUGGAAUACUUGGUGUAGCAGUGAAAUGCGUAGAUAUCGAGAGGAACACCAGUGGCGAAGGCGAGUCUCUGGACGACUCCUGACACUGAGGCACGAAAGCUAGGGGAGCAAACAGG
rnacentral:rRNA from 1 species